AGUGAACGCUGGCGGUAGGCCUAACACAUGCAAGUCGAACGGCAGCACAGUAAGAGCUUGCUCUUACGGGUGGCGAGUGGCGGACGGGUGAGGAAUACAUCGGAAUCUACUUUUUCGUGGGGGAUAACGUAGGGAAACUUACGCUAAUACCGCAUACGACCUACGGGUGAAAGCAGGGGAUCUUCGGACCUUGCGCGAUUGAAUGAGCCGAUGUCGGAUUAGCUAGUUGGCGGGGUAAAGGCCCACCAAGGCGACGAUCCGUAGCUGGUCUGAGAGGAUGAUCAGCCACACUGGAACUGAGACACGGUCCAGACUCCUACGGGAGGUGGCAGUGGGGAAUAUUGGACAAUGGGAGCAAGCCUGAACAAGCCAUACCGCGUGGGUGAAGAAGGCCUUCGGGUUGUAAAACCCAUUUGUUGGGAAGGAAAAGCAGCAGGUUAAUACCCCGCUGUUCUGAAGGUACCCAAAGAAUAAGCACCGGCUAACUUCGUG
rnacentral:rRNA from 1 species